UACAGAGGGUGCGAGCGUUAAUCGGAAUUACUGGGCGUAAAGCGCACGUAGGUGGCGACGCAAGUCGGGUGUGAAAGCCCCGGGCUCAACCUGGGAAUUGCAUUCGAGACUGCAUUGCUGGAGUACGGAAGAGGAGGGCGGAAUUCCCGGUGUAGCGGUGAAAUGCGUAGAUAUCGGGAGGAACAUCAGUGGCGAAGGCGGCCCUCUGGUCCAGUACUGACACUCAAGUGCGAAAGCGUGGGGAGCAAACAGG
rnacentral:rRNA from 1 species